CGCUAUAAGCUGUGGUAACUGG
rnacentral:miRNA from 1 species